GGCGCAGUAAUAAUGCGAGCAAGCGCGCGCGCGAAACUCGCGAAAAACGCCCGCGAAAGUCGCGCGAAACCGCGGCGCCUACGAGGAUUUUUUAUUGGUUCCAUGUCGCCACCGUGCCGGCCCGUAAUUCACAAUGUAAUUGGCGGCGUCUAGCCCUCAACCGAGUUGAACUUUUGAGCUCUAGCCGUGGGUUAAACACAAGUUAAAUCAAUAAAGCAUAAAACAAACACGAAGAGGAGUAGACUCAACCGAAGUAGAGACUGAAGAGAAGAUUGGGACGCAAGUGGGUAGUGAGCCCAGACGGUCUCCUCGCUUAUUAGGCCCGCGUGCUGCAACGCAAACAUCAACAUGCCGAAGAAGACAACGGGGCGCGCGCGGCGCUCAUUCCGAGACGAUUAAACAAAAGAACGCCCAUGGGGCCGAAGGCUGGUUGCGAGCCGCAUGUGGUCCCAUCUAUCGAUGCACUGCGACGCCGGUCGAAUUCUUGAAUUCUUUCUGUUGCACUAACAACAAGACCAAGAGACCAAGACCAGUCUUCAACUCUUUUUUAAUUUUUUAUUUUUUAUUUUUAAGCUUAGUGUGUGUUUUUGAAAUGAUAAUCAAAUAUUGAACCGAUGAGAGAUGCUGGUAACUGUUUUGAUUAAUAAUAUCGAUAAUUAUAGACGUUGCAUGUUCCAUUCUUCAUUUUCAAAAUGAAAAGAGUUAUAAUUCAAUUGAUAAAUUUUUCUCCGCUACGCGAAAAAAUGCCGUCGAAAUGUUUUACAAGCAAGUUGAUGAGAACGUCAACUUUUUCACGUUGUAUGCAACCGGUCCCGUUCCUUUCUGUCUUUAUCACUAGCUGCAUACUGAGUUUUUUGUGCGCGAAAUUAAAAAAACAGCACGGCGAGUCAUCGCCACAAUGCAGAUGUCGCUGCGGUAUUCAUUUACAAACCAAACACACUCCGCGCUGUUUUUUUCUUUUCUUUUUGGAAUGCGGUGUGUGUGCAAAAGAUACAAAAAAGGUUAAAAGGACUUGUUUUAGUCGGAAUACCAUUUAAGUCGUUUACACUGCUCAUUGUGCGUAUUAUUUACCUUUUUAACUCUUUCUUUGCUAGUUGAAAAGUGGAAGAAACAAGUUGAAAUCUUUAA